GUGUCAGCAGCCGCGGUAAAACGUAGGAGGCGAGCGUUAUCCGGAUUUACUGGGCGUAAAGCGCACGCAGGCGGCUUCGUGAGUCGGAUGUGAAAGCUCCUGGCUUAACUGGGAGAGGCCAUUCGAUACUGCGGGGCUUGAGGUUGGGAGAGGGGUGUGGAAUUCCCGGUGUAGUGGUGGAAUGCGUAGAUAUCGGGAGGAACACCAGUGGCGAAGGCGGCACCCUGGCCCACACCUGACGCUGAGGUGCGAAAGCGUGGGUAGCAAACAGGAUUAGAUACCCUGGUAGUCCACGCCGUAAACUAUGUCAACUAGGUGUUGGUAGUGUUACACUAUCAGUGCCGUAGCUAACGCGUUAAGUUGACCGCCUGGGGACUACGGCCGCAAGGCUAAA
rnacentral:rRNA from 1 species